rnacentral:rRNA from 1 species
AGCGAACGCUGGCGGCAGGCCUAACACAUGCAAGUCGAACGGAUCCUUCGGGAUUAGUGGCGGACGGGUGAGUAACACGUGGGAACGUGCCCUUUGGUUCGGAACAACUCAGGGAAACUUGAGCUAAUACCGGAUGUGCCCUUCGGGGGAAAGAUUUAUCGCCAUUGGAGCGGCCCGCGUCUGAUUAGCUAGUUGGUGAGGUAACGGCCCACCAAGGCGACGAUCAGUAGCUGGUCUGAGAGGAUGAUCAGCCACACUGGGACUGAGACACGGCCCAGACUCCUACGGGAAGCAGCAGUGGGGAAUCUUGCGCAAUGGGCGAAAGCCUGACGCAGCCAUGCCGCGUGAAUGAUGAAGGUCUUAGGAUUGUAAAAGUCUUUCAGCGGGGACGAUAAUGACGGUACCCGCAGAAGAAGCUCCGGCUAACCUCGUG